AUACUUUUAUAUCCUAAUUAGGAUACUAAGUCAUUUUAUAGUAUCUUUUUAACAUAACUUUGAACAGUUAUGUGCCAGGACCUAUAUAAGGUGUUAGUAACAGAAAGGUGAACAAGCCUUAAAUCCUGCUCUCAAGGAAUAAGCAGUAAGCAAAGACAGGACACUCAAUCCAGUCAGAGUGCCCUUUUGUUAUUGUUUCACAAUAUCUUUUCAUAGAGACCGUGAUGGUAAAUUUUGUCUCUACUUGACUCAGCCACUGGGUGCCCAGAUAUUUGGUCAAAUAUUGUAUUGGCUGUGUCUGUGAGCAUGUUCUUGGAUGAGAUUAACAUUCAAAUUGGUAGACUGAGCAAAGCAGAUUGACCUCCCUAACGUGGGUGGGCCAUAUCAAUCAGUUGAAGGCCUAAGGAGAACAAUAGACUGACUCUGUCCCAGUAAGAGAAAAUUCCUCCUCCCUUAUCUGCUUUCAGGCUGGGACACUGGCUUUUUCCUGCCUUUGGAUUCAAACUGAAAUACCUGCUCUUCCUGGUGUUGACCCUGCUGGCCUUCAAACUUGAACUACACAAAGAAGGAGGCAAAGAGAGAAGGAGUGGAGAGGGACUCAAGUACCUGGCAUCAGCAAAUAAAUCUGAGAUUAAUGCCAGAGUGGUCCUCCAACAUUUACAAGCUUAGAAGAAAAAGAAUUUGGUGAUAUUUUCCAGUCAGUAAGUAAGCAAUUUGUUUUCUGGUUUUCCCUCCUAGUUUAUUUUUUGAGAUUCCUUCCCCUGAAAUUUGGCCCAACUUUGCUAUUUGAACCAAAGUACACACCUGACCCAAACAAUCAUCUCCAAAGAAAUUGUAACCAUGUAACAUAAAAAAAAGAAUCAGUCUCUGAGGAACUAGAUGGUAACUUCUGUACUCCAAAAGCUGUACAAUGGCUAUUAUGCCAUGUGGACUAUGAAGGAGGGUUCAUUAAUUGCAAGGAGAGAACAUUGAGAGUUUUAUGCUGUAAGCAGAUAUGAGAGAUGAAGAAGUGGCUAACGGUUUUCAGAUCCUUAGAUCCAGUCUCUUCCUGAGGACAAAUUCAUCCUGCCUUUGAGUUCCAAGAAUGUAUAAUAUGCAUAUAGAAAAUCCCAUUUGUC
rnacentral:lncRNA from 1 species